UAGGGAAUCUUCGGCAAUGGACGAAAGUCUGACCGAGCAACGCCGCGUGAGUGAAGAAGGUUUUCGGCUCGUAAAACUCUGUUGUUAGAGAAGAACAAGGACGUUAGUAACUGAACGUCCCCUGACGGUAUCUAACCAGAAAGCCACGGCUAACUACGUGCCAGCAGCCGCGGUAAUACGUAGGUGGCAAGCGUUGUCCGGAUUUAUUGGGCGUAAAGCGAGCGCAGGCGGUUUCUUAAGUCUGAUGUGAAAGCCCCCGGCUCAACCGGGGAGGGUUAUUGGAAACUGGGAGACUUGAGUGCAGAAGAGGAGGGUGGAAUUCCAUGUGGAGCGGUGAAAUGCGUAGAUAUAUGGAGGAACACCAGUGGCGAAGGCGGCUCUCUGGUCUGUAACUGACGCUGAGGCUCGAAAGCGUGGGGAGCAAACAGG
rnacentral:rRNA from 1 species